rnacentral:lncRNA from 1 species
GAGCGUUUCAAAAUACACGAAACGACGUGCGUGCAAUAGCGAGAUACGCAGGAGCUACAAAUAGAAGCACUAAAACUGCAGGGCAGGCUUCUCUGAAGCGGCAGCUCGUUCCCUUCAGGAAACGCGCAGUGGCACCGCAGGCCCUCGCCCAGCUGCCCUCGCCGAGCCGCGCAGCGCUGCGGGCGGAUGGAGCCGGCAGCCCGGCACCCGCUGCGCAACCGCGGGAACAUCGCGUACCGAGGGAGGCACGGCCGUCCAGAUGGCCUCCAGCCUGAACAGCCUCAGGCAACGGGGAUUCAAUUUCAUCGCGCCGCCAGGUUAAAACCAGCGGAGCCCCUCGUUUAGUUAAACCCAACAAGCUCCGCACAAAGCGUCACGAGGGCAGACGCCGCGUCACGCUGACACGGCCCCAAAAACCCCUCCGGGAGCGGGGGGCCGCCGCUUCCCGGCCGCCUCCGUUCUGCGUGCGGCCACGGCUCACCGCCGAACCCCCGAGCGCGGCGGAGCUCGGUCGCCGUCCCGCCUGGGUAAAGCCGGCUCCAGCGGCAGAAGCGGCGCAGCCCGGCAGCCGCCCCACGGCCCCACGCUCCCGCCGCCCCGUCGCGCUCGCUCGCCCCCACCCCGACGCCGCGGCCCCGCCGGGUCCCUCCGACUCACAGCCUUCCGCCGCGGCUUCCGCUGGCUGCUCCCGGCGGACGGGCGGCCGCGCUCUAUAUGCGCUGAGGUGCGGCCCCCGGCCCGGGGAACUCCGAGGGAGCGUCAGGGCCGGGAAGCCGCUGGAAAGCCCCGGCGGCGCGCAGCGCAUGCGCCGCACGGCGACAGGGCGGGGCGUCCGUCCGUCCCGUGCCGGCCGUGGCGGCGGCUCGCGGCCUCCGGGCUCCGUCCCCCCGAGCCUCGUGCGCUUCCUCCUUCGCCCCCCGAGCUGCCCGGACCCCCUCAGAGCCGCCGCGUCCCCGCUGCCCGUUUGCUGAGCGAGGAGCGGUGCCGCACGGCGCUGGGCGGGACGCCGGGUGCUUUCCUGGCGCGUUGCCAAGUUACGGGCUGCUGUGGGAGAGGCCGAGUGGUGACCGCCUGCGCUUCGGUCGCUGAAAGUCACGGGGGAACAACGGGAGGAAGGCAAAACCGAGUGCGAAUUUCCACCAGCGUGUGUCAGCGCGUACAGAAAGCUGAAGAACUUCCGCAGCGGGUGCUGCCAGAUCGUGGUAUGACAUUUCCUCUGAAGAAACAGCAAGCGGAAGGAAGACAAUUAGAUUCAGCAAGAGAAAAGAACAUGAAAAAUGCCAAAAGAGAUAACUACACUAAAGUGAUCAAAUUUAAGUGGGAGAGGGAACCGUAUAUACCAUAA